GAGGAGUCUAACACAUGUGCGAGUAUUUGGGUGGCAAACCCGAGUGCGUAAUGAAAGUGAUUUGGGUGAGAGCCUGGCCUCCGCGCCUGGUGCAUCAUCGGCCGAACCUUGAUGCCCUCUGCUAGGUUUGAGUAAGAGCAUAUUUGUUGGGACCCGAAAGGUAGUGAACUAUGCCUGGAUAGGAUGAAGCCAGGGGAAACUCUGGUGGAGGUCCGUAGCCGUUCUGACGUGCAAACCGAUGGUCAAAUCUGGGUAUAGGGGCGAAAGACUAAUCGAACUACCUAGUAGCUGGUUCCCUC
rnacentral:misc_RNA from 1 species